AAAAGCCUGGUCUGACAGCUAAGGUUCCUGAGAACUCCAACAGAGACUCUUCAACUCCAGCUCACUGAUUCCAGGUACCCCAACUCUGGACAGAGGCUCCAGCGGGGAUCCAAAGCACAAUGAGGAAAUGCCUAGGGCCUUGCCUACCAGACCAGAGCUGCCUUUCAGGGAAACGUCUCUCAAAAAUCCAAAAUGAAAGAUCCCAGCUCAAAAGAAACACACUGAGCAGAGAUGUGCCUGGUGUCAUGGGCUGAAGGCAGGGCCCCGGGAUGAAGGUUACAGGAAGCUCCCUGGAUCCCUCUCUCAACAAGCCAGAUGUCACUCAAAGCCAGAAUUUAUUCUUGCUCUGCGAUGGAGGUUCAGGAACCUUCUAUCAGGAAGAGGAUAUCCCCUCCUCAUAAUCUCUAAAGAUGGAAGGGAGAAGCAGACUCUGUCAGGCAUAAACUGAUGAGACCAAGCCAAACACAGCCUGAGUCCUCGCCGCCCACGGAACACCCAAGGCACUGUCUCCUGGCCUUCCUCCGUGAGCCUUCGGCCAUCUCCUGUCACCCACAGGUGACUUCUCACUCCACAGCGCUUGCCACUCUCUCCGCUGCAAGCCCUCAAGGGCGGGAACUGUCACAUUUCUCUCUCAGGCAUCGGUGGAAACUGCCCCAUGCUUGUCACAUGCAUUUGUGGAAUUAAAUUAAAUCAUCGAGUUCAGAGGCAUCUCAGA